AGCGGGUCGGGUGUGUUGCGUUUUUUUUUAUUAUGUCCGGUGGGUUUCUCGGGAUCUCAGGAGGAUCUCAUCGGGCCUUAUAGGACUGGCUGUCAUUCAAAUAACUAUUCUAAUCCCGAAAUUAGAAUAGUGCUACUUUAUAUCUCUAUCUCUACUACCUAAAAGAACCGUAAGGUUCCGUUUCCCCUCUUACGUUCCUUCCUCAGCCGGUUUCGUCCGCCUUCGACCAUCGUCGGUUCAAGUUUUUUUUCCACGCACAAUCGUCCCUGCCGAAAACAUCGGGAUGCAAUCCCAUCUAUAGCACCGAUCCACCUCACCUCAUCUUCGUCCUGGGCGGCUCGGCGCUGCCUCCUCCCCUCCCAAGCACGAUCCUCCAAGCACAGCCGCCGCCACACCCCCGUCAGAGUACACCUCCCAUACUCCUCUCUCUCUCUCUCUCUCUCUCUCUCUCUCUCUCUCUCUCUCUCUCUUGGAGCCGUCGUCGCUCCCCAUCCACCCGGCCCGGCGUGCAUCGGAUCGACCUUGCCCCCUCUCCUUGCAACGUGGAAGAUGGAAGGGGCGGCCAGUCGGCCACCAAUCUUAUGGCGGCGUGGUCAUCUACCUCCUCCCCUCUCCCCACGUUGGUCCAGCCUGUCUUCUCUACCAGAUCUGGCGGCCGCGUCGGCGAAACUGCUGGCAGUGACACGAUUCGUGGGUGUGGCGAUAGGAAGCAUCGAUCGGUCGUCUUCGAGGCCGCCUACCACGGCGAUCCCGCAGUCCAGCCUCCCCGCCUCCAAGAUGUGGCCUGCACGAGGCCAUCUUCUCGUUUCCUCGGUGGCGUCCGUCCAAUGAAGAGCUACACCGCCGUGGCACCACAUGACUUGUGUUGUACCCUCGCCCCACGGCCCUUCUAUGCUGGGAGGAGGCAGCGUUUGUCCGUAGCACCCCAUGUCCCACAUCAUCAUUCCUUUCUUACUUAGUGUCAUACAAGUGAUGCAAUCAUGAUUUGCUAGCCUUUUAACAUAUCCCUGAUGGAGUGGAGUGGAGGGGACAGACGGAUUGGAAAUACAAUAAGGAUGGUGCAUGGAGAACAUGCUUUGUUGCCAUCUUCAUCCGCGAGUUGGCUCCCAAAUCUAAAAGGCGCAUCUGACGAAACAGGAGUGUAACAGGGCACGGCUGCUGAACCAGGACAACCACAUAUGAGUUUUUGAUUUCUUAUUUGUUCAUCAGACCUGGUCACAAAUAAUGAGUUUGAGACAAACCUUGUGUCAUGUGUUAUCGCACUCAGAUAUUGGAGCCUUGGAGAAUGUAAAAGAAAUGUUAAACGAAUGUGAGAGCUUAUACCCGCAUAAAACAAUUUUUUCUUGGGCGUCGAUGAGCACAGGAGCUCGGAGGAGGCCACCAUGGAGCUGAAGUGACCUCGACAAACAAAACAUGUAAAGAAUGAGAACGACGAGGCGAGCCAAUACUACAGAGGAGCUGGACCAUAGGGAGGUCUUAAUUUUAAGUAGCAAUCUUGGUUGCUAGCAUAUGUAAGAUUUGAAGUAUCUAUCCACCUUUAAAAUAGUAGUGUCUAAAUACUAAAUAAUGAUUAUAGUGAUUUAUGACAAUCAGGUACCGUUUGGUUUAGCAUAUAAGUGUCUAGAUACUAAAUAUAAGUAUCUAUCCACACUUUGGUUUAGCAAUCAGGUACCGUUUGUUGCAAAGGAACUAUAUUUAUGAGGGACUUCCUGAUGAUUUAGUGAUUUAUGAUUCCUACAAGUAUAUAGGAAUAUUUCAGCUCCAUCAUAGGAAAAAUAAUCUGAAAUA